UACGGGGGGGCAAGCGUUGUUCGGAAUUACUGGGCGUAAAGGGUUUGUAGGUGGCCCGCUAAGUCACACGUGAAAUCCCUCAGCUUAACUGGGGAACUGCGUGUGAGACUGGCAGGCUCGAGGGCAGGAGAGGAACGCGGAAUUCCAGGUGUAGCGGUGAAAUGCACAGAUAUCCGAAGGAACACCGGUGGCGAAGGCGGCUUCCUAAACCGACACUGACGCUGAGGCGCGAAAGCUAGGGGAGCAAACGGG
rnacentral:rRNA from 1 species